GAGGCCAACAAGCGUAAUAACAACUGGUUACCUCCUCCAUGGGCAAUACUUGCUUUGAUUAUUCUAUUGAACUCAUCUAUGACACUCUUAAGGUGCACAUCAAUUGAACUCAUCUAAUGUGUACUUUAUUUUUUUUUUCCAUUUCGUUCAACAAUAAAGGCUAUGUUUUUACUCACUCUUAACAACACACCUCUACCUGCAGCAGCUUCAGUGUAAAGAAUGUAUUUUAUUGUACAUAAAUUAUUGGAUGGGAAGUUUAAUAAUAAAGAAACCACCUUGUUUCCAUCCGACUGUUCUUUUAAAUUGUUCUUACUCAAUUUUGGUAUUUUCUAUGGCAGAAAUCCAUUGUAUUUGCUUGUCAUCUUUAUUGGUUAUCUUCUCAUCAAAGUCCUAUGAGUGCAACUGGACAUUAUGGGUGAAUUUCGCCAUGGAGCUGAGACUGCCGGGACUCUUAUCCUUGUCUACCAAAUUCGUUCCAACUGCCAUGAACCUUAUGAAAAAACUAGCAGACGAGGGUGCAGAUAACAAUAAUCGCAAAAAUCCAUCAAAAGGCGACUGAGUUAAUAUGUUCAAUUGCAUAAGAAGGCAGUGAUGGAUUUUUUGCAGGUUCCUGGUCUCUGCGUGCUGCAAGAAGUUGGGGAGACCGAGUUAGUGCUUCAGAUUGUCAAUUACUCAUGUUUUAUGUACUUUGUAUCACUUUUCCUUUUCUUUUUUAUAUAGAAUAUUCAUAGAGUUUA